UACGGAGGGGGCUAGCGUUGUUCGGAAUUACUGGGCGUAAAGCGCACGUAGGCGGCUUUGCAAGUUAGAGGUGAAAGCCCGGGGCUCAACUCCGGAAUUGCCUUUAAAACUGCAUCGCUAGAAUUGUGGAGAGGUAAGUGGAAUUCCGAGUGUAGAGGUGAAAUUCGUAGAUAUUCGGAAGAACACCCGUGGCGAAGGCGGCUCUCUGGGACGGUACUGACGCUGAGACGCGAAAGCGUGGGGAGCGAACAGG
rnacentral:rRNA from 1 species